rnacentral:rRNA from 1 species
AGCGAACGCUGGCGGCAGGCCUAACACAUGCAAGUCGAACGAACUCUUCGGAGUUAGUGGCGGACGGGUGAGUAACACGUAGGAACGUGCCCUUUGGUUCGGAAUAACUCAGGGAAACUUGUGCUAAUACCGAAUGUGCCCUUCGGGGGAAAGAUUUAUCGCCAUUAGAGCGGCCCGCGUCUGAUUAGCUAGUUGGUGAGGUAACGGCUCACCAAGGCGACGAUCAGUAGCUGGUCUGAGAGGAUGACCAGCCACACUGGGACUGAGACACGGCCCAGACUCCUACGGGAAGCAGCAGUGGGGAAUCUUGCGCAAUGGGCGAAAGCCUGACGCAGCCAUGCCGCGUGAAUGAUGAAGGUCUUAGGAUUGUAAAAUUCUUUCACCGGGGACGAUAAUGACGGUACCCGGAGAAGAAGCCCCGGCUAACUUCGUG